rnacentral:tRNA from 1 species
GCCCGAAUGGUGGAAUGGUAGACACGAGGGACUUAAAAUCCCUUGGCUAUAGCAGCCGUGCGGGUUCGAGUCCCGCUUCGGGCA